rnacentral:lncRNA from 1 species
UCCUAUAGAAGCCAGCAUGUCCUAAGAAUGAGCAAAUUUUUUGACUGAUUUGGGUGGUAAAAGAUUUGCAAUCAAGUCUACUUUGACUUUAUCCACUUCAAUUCUCUUCUUUGAGAUAACAUGACCAGGUACUAUGCCUUCUUUGAUCAUGAAUUAUUAUUUUUUUCAAUUAAACACUAAGUGUUUCUCCUUACACCUUUCUAAGACCAGUCUUAGGUGAAGUAGGCACUC